rnacentral:snRNA from 1 species
AUAUACUAAAAAAAAAUUUUUUUAAAUUGGACUCAUACAGAGAAGAUUAUGGCCCCUGUGCAAGGAUGACACACAAAUUUGUGAAGCAUUCCAUAUUUUA